AUGAACGCUGGCGGCAGGCCUAACACAUGCAAGUCGAACGGGUCCUUCGGGAUUAGUGGCGGACGGGUGAGUAACGCGUGGGAACAUACCCUUUGGUACGGAAUAGCCUCGGGAAACUGAGAGUAAUACCGUAUGUGCCCUUCGGGGGAAAGAUUUAUCGCCAAAGGAUUGGCCCGCGUUGGAUUAGGUAGUUGGUGGGGUAAUGGCCUACCAAGCCGACGAUCCAUAGCUGGUUUGAGAGGAUGAUCAGCCACACUGGGACUGAGACACGGCCCAGACUCCUACGGGAGGCAGCAGUGGGGAAUCUUAGACAAUGGGGGAAACCCUGAUCUAGCCAUGCCGCGUGAUCGAUGAAGGCCUUAGGGUUGUAAAGAUCUUUCAGAUGGGAAGAUAAUGACGGUACCAUCAGAAGAAGCCCCGGCUAACUCCGU
rnacentral:rRNA from 1 species